rnacentral:rRNA from 1 species
AACGCGAAGAACCUUACCCAGGCUUGAGCAGCGAGUGACCAUCGACGAAAGUUGACUUCCGCAAGGACACUCGUAGAGGUGCUGCAUGGCUGUCGUCAGCUCGUGUCGUGAGAUGUUGGGUUAAGUCCCGCAACGAGCGCAACCCUUGUUUGCUGUUGCCAUCACGUUAUGGUGGGCACUCUGCAAAGACUGCCGGUGAUAAACCGGAGGAAGGUGGGGAUGACGUCAAGUCAGCAUGGCCUUUAUGUCUGGGGCUACACACGUGCUACAAUGGCCGAUACAAACCGUCGCGAGCCCGCAAGGGGGAGCUAAUCGGAGAAAGUCGGUCUCAGUUCGGAUAGCAGGCUGCAACUCGCCUGCUUGAAGUUGGAAUCGCUAGUAAUCGCGGAUCAGCACGCCGCGGUGAAUACGUUCCCGGGUCUGACACCCAAG